rnacentral:rRNA from 1 species
UACGUAGGGUGCAAGCGUUGUCCGGAAUUAUUGGGCGUAAAGAGCUCGUAGGCGGUUUGUUGCGUCGGCUGUGAAAUCCCGAGGCUCAACCUCGGGUCUGCAGUCGAUACGAGCAAACUAGAGUGUUGCAGGGGAGACUGGAAUUCCUGGUGUAGCGGUGAAAUGCGCAGAUAUCAGGGAGGGAAACACCCGGGUUGGGCGAAAGGGCGGGAUCUCUGGGGCCCAUUUACUGACGCUGGAGGGAGCGAAA